CCCGGGCCUUGUACACACCGCCCGUCACACCACGAAAGUCGGCAACACCCGAAGUCAGUGGCCCAACCCGCAGGGGAGGGAGCUGCCGAAGGUGGGGUUGGUGAUUGGGGUG
rnacentral:rRNA from 1 species